rnacentral:tRNA from 1 species
GGUGGCUCAGUGGUAGAGUGCUUGCCUAGCAAGCAUGAGGCCCUGGGUUCGAUUCCUUAGAACCA